rnacentral:rRNA from 1 species
GAUGAACGCUGGCGGCGUGCCUAAUACAUGCAAGUCGAGCGAACAGACGAGGAGCUUGCUCCUCUGACGUUAGCGGCGGGCGGGUGAGUAACACGUGGAUAACCUACCUAUAAGACUGGGAUACCUUCGGGAAACCGGAGCUAAUACCGGAUAAUAUAUUGAACCGCAUGGUUCAAUAGUGAAAGACGGUUUUGCUGUCACUUAUUGAUGGAUCCGCGCUGCUUUAGCUAGUUGUUAGGGUAACGCCUUACCAAGGCAAGGAUGCGUAGCCGACUGGAGAGGUUGACCGGCACACUGGGAACGGAAACAGGGCCCAACCUCCUAGGGAGGGCGGAGGUGGGAAAGUUUCCGCAAUGGGCGAAAGCCGGACGAAGCAACGCGGCGGGGUUGAUGAAGGUCUUCGGUUGGUAAAACCCUGUUAUUGGGGAAAAACAAAGGUGUAAGUAACUAUGCACGUCUGGACGGUACCAAAGCAGAAAGCCCCGGCAAACUACGG